rnacentral:rRNA from 1 species
CCUACGGGAGGCAGCAGUCGAGAAUCAUUCACAAUGGGGGAAACCCUGAUGGUGCGACGCCGCGUGGGGGAAUGAAGGUCUUCGGAUUGUAAACCCCUGUCAUGUGGGAGCAAAUUAAAAAGAUAGUACCACAAGAGGAAGAGACGGCUAACUCUGUGCCAGCAGCCGCGGUAAUACAGAGGUCUCAAGCGUUGUUCGGAAUCACUGGGCGUAAAGCGUGCGUAGGCUGUUUCGUAAGUCGUGUGUGAAAGGCGCGGGCUCAACCCGCGGACGGCACAUGAUACUGCGAGACUAGAGUAAGGGAGGGGGAACCGGAAUUCUCGGUGUAGCAGUGAAAUGCGUAGAUAUCGAGAGGAACACUCGUGGCGAAGGCGGGUUCCUGGACAUUAACUGACGCUGAGGCACGAAGGCCAGGGGAGCGAAAGGGAUUAGAUACCCCAUAGUC